rnacentral:rRNA from 1 species
UACGUAGGGGGCAAGCGUUGUCCGGAAUCAUUGGGCGUAAAGCGCGUGUAGGCGGCCCGGUAAGUCCGCUGUGAAAGUCCAGGGCUCAACCCUGGAAUGCCGGUGGAUACUGUCGGGCUCGAGUCCGGAAGAGGCGAGUGGAAUUCCCGGUGUAGCGGUGAAAUGCGCAGAUAUCUGGAGGAACACCGGUGGCGAAGGCGGCAUCCUGGACCAAUUCUGACGCUGAGGAGCGAAAGCCAGGGGAGCAAACGGG